UACGGGGGGGCAAGCGUGUUCGGAAUUACUGGGCGAAAGGGCUCGUAGGCGGCCAACUAAGUCAGACGUGAAAUCCCUCAGCUUAAACUGGGGAACUGCGUCUGAGACUGGAUGGCUUGAGUGCAGGAGAGGAACGCGGAAUUCCAGGUGUAGCGGUGAAAAUGCGUAGAUAUCUGGAGGAACACCGGUGGCGAAGGCGCAUCCUGGACCGGCAUUGACGCUGAG
rnacentral:rRNA from 1 species